ensembl:lncRNA
UGGGAAAUUUUUGCCCCAGUUAUGACGAGUGCACCGCAGCAGCCUCUGAGUCUGGAAGAGUUCAAGCAGCUUUUUACCAUCAGCUUUAGCACUUCAGAUGCCCAACUGAGGGCAGAUGAGGAGGCCACAGCUGGACACUGGGAAACAAUCCUCACUUUAGUGCGUGACGGCAAGGCAGAGUUUUCCUUUGAAGACCUCCUCACCUUCAUCACAGGAGCUGACCGUUUGCCUCCUCUUGGCUUCCCCAGAUUCAUUUCUCUGUGUUUUUACUCUCAGGAUGCCAGCAUGCAAGAUUUGCGCCUGCCUCAUGCCGCCUCCUCUUCUCUGGAGCUCUACCUGCCAAGGGGAGUGGCUGGGGCUGUGGACCUGCUGGCCCUGUUAAACAGAGCUGUGCACAAGGUGCUGCGAGACGGAGAGGACAACUGAAGAGAAGUGAUGAUGAGAUUAUGAAGAGAAUUCCCUCUCACUGGAGAUUAAACGUUUCUGUGUGAUGUUAACAACAUGACUAAAAGGACGCAAUUUGCUCUGUGUGCACUUUGGUGCUGGUGACACGAUGCUGUAGAUUAGACCAGUGUUUGUAUUUUGUAAAGACCUCAGUCUGAUGGUUUUAAACCGUGUAGUGUUUAUAAUAGAACCUGUGCGCAUUUUUUGAUAAGUAGAAUCAUGUAUUUUAAAAGAACGGGAAGGAAUGGUACUCAACACACAAGGUCUUAGAUGUUUUUGGCAGGGCCAAGUCAGAGUUGAUGGAUCCAUGUUGAGUUUAUUUGUUGAUGCAGAUAAGGUGUGUUUUCUUUCAUUAAUUAUUAAAAUGGCACUUACGAAGAGCACAUUUAACAUUGAAUAGCAAUCUAUGUUUUCACUUUCUCUUGUAUUUUCUAACAGCUGUUGUUCUUGAUAUUCUGUAUAUGGGUAUAAAUCUGCUUUAAAUUCACA